GUGGAGGCCGCGCCACAAGGAGUGCCCGCCCUUGUCGCAGCCUCGGGGCCGGCUCCCGCCGUCUCUCGAGUGGCCAUUACCCUGUAGUUUUUCCUUGAGUACCGUCAGGCCCUUAAAGGAAGAAGGGAGAAAGAGGAUGAAGAAAAAAAGGAGGCACUGGUGACAAGUGGUGGAAUUUUGUAGAAAUUUCGCAGAGUGUGUGGAGACCACUGAGGCAUGCUGAAAAGGCUUCAUUUGCCAGCAUGCAUCAUCAUGGUCAAGCAGAACAGGCGCCCUUGUUAUUCUCCACAGGCAAGCCAUCCUGGAGAGAUACCAGCACACUUCCUCUACUGCCAGAAACCGAAGACACUGAUUAGUGAAUCCACACUAGUUCUACCGUCAUUUGAAAUGUUCUUGGAUUUUAUUUGGUAUACAAUUUGGUGAUUCAUAAAGGGAAUUAUUGAAUUAUUUGCACUGUUAAA